rnacentral:rRNA from 1 species
GACGAACGCUGGCGGCGUGCUUAACACAUGCAAGUCGAGCGGUAAGGCCCUUUCGGGGGUACACGAGCGGCGAACGGGUGAGUAACACGUGGGUGACCUGCCCUCAGCUCUGGGAUAAGCCUGGGAAACCGGGUCUAAUACUGGAUAUGACUCCAUGACGCAUGUUGUGGGGUGGAAAGCCUUGUGCGGCUGAGGAUGGGCCCGCGGCCUAUCAGCUUGUUGGUGGGGUGAUGGCCUACCAAGGCGACGACGGGUAGCCGGCCUGAGAGGGCGACCGGCCACACUGGGACUGAGACACGGCCCAGACUCCUACGGGAGGCAGCAGUGGGGAAUCUUGCGCAACGGGCGAAAGCCUGACGCAGCGACGCCGCGUGAGGGAUGACGGCCU